rnacentral:rRNA from 1 species
CAAUAGCGUAUAUUUAAGUUGCUGCAGUUAAAAAGCUCGUAGUUGGAUUUCGGGUGGGAAUGGCCGGUCCGCCGUUUCGGUGUGCACUUGCUACGCCCACCUUGCUGCCGGGGACGUGCUCUUGAGUUCACGCUCGGGACACGGAGUCGGCGAGGUUACUUUGAGUAAAUUAGAGUGUUCAAAGCAGGCCUACGCUCUGAAUACAUUAGCAUGGAAUAACACGAUAGGACUCUGGCCUAUCUUGUUGGUCUGUAGGACCGGAGUAAUGAUUAAGAGGGACAGUCGGGGGCAUUCGAAUUUCAUUGUCAGAGGUGAAAUUCUUGGAUUUAUGAAAGACGAACUACUGCGAAAGCAUUUGCCAAGGAUGUUUUCAUUAA